rnacentral:rRNA from 1 species
CCUACGGGAGGCAGCAGUGGGGAAUAUUGGACAAUGGGCGAAAGCCUGAUCCAGCCAUGCCGCGUGUGUGAAGAAGGUCUUCGGAUUGUAAAGCACUUUAAGUUGGGAGGAAGGGCAGUAAGUUAAUACCUUGCUGUUUUGACGUUACCGACAGAAUAAGCACCGGCUAACUCUGUGCCAGCAGCCGCGGUAA